CACAACCAUCCCUCCCUGAGUUCUGCCUGGAGAAGGUUGGAGGGAGCCAGGAACAUGUCAGGGCAACUCUUGCCUAAGUGUGAAAGAUUUGUGGGGUUGAUGCUUCUGUGACUACUCCCAAACUGGCCCAGCACCCUGGGAAAGAAACACCUACGUUCAACGCCUCCCAAAAUUAUUUUCAAGACUGGAAAGGAGAACUGAAACAGAAAAUAUUUACAAAUGCCUGGAGUACUGAGACAAGUGCCACUCCAGGCAUCACAUGACGAGGCACAUCUGCUCUGUGACUCAUGGAAAGGGAAUAUCCCAUGCGUGUAAGCGGCACAGGCUGCCUCACACUGAACCUUUGGGAAGCUUUUUGGAGGCCUGGUUCUGCAAGAAAUAAAAAAGGGGACAAAUUCCUGCUGGGGAAGAACUUUGAAAGCUGCAAUUUGGCCUGGAAAAAUACCCAACAUCAAAAUAUUAAUAAUGAGAACGUGCUCCUGCUGACAGUCCUGGAGACGAGAAUUCUCCGUACAUCCAGAGCCAACUUCUCCAGGCCUCUCUCCUUCGGAUCUUUACCCUUACUCAUGGAACACCCCCAGUGGACGGGGUGGAGGAAGGGUUUGGGAAGGGUUUGGAAGAUGAAAUGUCCUGAGAUUUGGGUUUCCUUGAGUGGAGAUGCCAAGCUUUGAAAAGCAGGGAGAGGACAUUGAUGGCUGAGCCCAAGGGAUCCCAUGGUGAAAGAGGAGAGAAGAAAAGAGGAGCCAUUGAUGUCUCUAUAAAAAUAAAGAAUUUUUAAGGUUGG